UUUAAACUUAUUGCACUUUUUAUACAGAGGAUCCUUGACAGCGUAGAAACUGUAAAUAUAAAAACUAUAAAACAUUUUCACGAUUAUAAUCUACAUAAAACGCAUUAAACGUUAUAAAAUACGAACAUCAAGUCAAGGUACCUUGAAAUGGAUUGAAUCGUCAUUUAUUUUCCGAUAAAUUAAUUUGAAAAGCAAAAUUAUAUUUACUUGGUUUUUUCUCUUUUUCUACAUAUUUUCUCUGCUCUGCUUGGCUGUGUUUGAUUGUGUCCUGAACAAUCUUGCAUGCCGCUUCAAAAACGAAAUGAUCAUUCACAUCACCUUGUGACCGACGAAAGAAGAGCUGUGACAGUUUGAGUCAAAGCAAACUUCUGUUAAAAAAAUACAUACUAAAAAUAUACUUCUCUUGUUGAAUAAUAAGAUGUUAAAGCUACGAAAUAAUGAAAACAUGUGCCUAAAUAGAAAAAUUUAAUAGUG